rnacentral:rRNA from 1 species
CCUACGGGCGGCAGCAGUGAGGAAUAUUGGUCAAUGGGCUUACGCCUGAACCAGCCAAGUCGCGUGAGGGAAGACUGCCCUACGGGUUGUAAACCUCUUUUGUCAGGGAGCAACGCCGGCUACGUGUAGCCGGACUGAGAGUACCUGAAGAAAAAGCAUCGGCUAACACCGUGCCAGCACCCGCGGUAAAACGGAGGAUGCGAGCGUUAUCCGGAUUUAUUGGGUUUAAAGGGUGCGUAGGCGGAAGGCCAAGUAAGCGGUAAAAUCGCGGGGCUAAACCGCGCCCCGCCGUUGAAACUGGCGUUCUUGAGUGGGCGAGAAGUAUGCGGAAUGCGUGGUGUAGCGGUGAAAUGCAUAGAUAUGAGGAAGAACACCAGUGGCGAAGGCGGCUUUCUGGAGUGAAACUGACGCUGAGGCACGAAAGCGUGGGUAGCGAACAGGAUUAGAUACCCCUGUAGUC